AAAAAACUCAUCUGUCAUUUUCGCAACGCAAAAAAGACAACAUCAAAAAUAAUUUGAAAUAAAAUUGUACGUUUCAGUCAGUUUUACCAAAUUAAGCACUGUUGAUGGCAAAUAUAAAAUAUACAGUUUCCACUCUUUAUUCCGAUCGACGGCUCAGAAGGACAAGGAGAAAUCCAAGGAUGGUGUUCAUCGGAUCAUUCUCAAAGUGGCGUAAGGGAGAGCCACCGUUUUUUGCGUCGAGUCCUCUUCCUCAGUACGAAAUCGGCCAUCCGAUAGGCAUCAGCAAUUGCCAAGAGAUCCCUUCAAUACUACCAUGCACCCUUUUGCUUCAAUUCUUUGGUCGUAUGAUUCCUCAUUCCACUACCAUAGUGCUGUUGGAUGGAUGCGGCAUUUUGGAACAUUACAUUGCAUAUUGUAGUACUGCAGCAAUUCUAGCAUCCACAAUCUCAACAUUGCUCUGGCGAUGGAAGCAAAACUAUCACAAGGCGCAGACGCAUUUGCUAUUCCGGGAUUAUGCUUCGGCCAAAACCAGUAGUUACAAUGAACUACGUGUCGAUUUCUUGCCUACGUAAUGAUGAUCGGACUGACUUAUUUCAUUUACAAAUGACUCUGGAAUUAUUCCGAGGUGGCAUAGGGUAUUUUUUCCUGAAAGGCAAUACAGAAACAUAAGCCAUAUGCAUCAAUUUUACUACAAAACUAACCGGCAUUGUGAUAUGAACAAUAGAGGUGACUUUAAUUCAAUGGACCAGUAAAUAAACUAUGCGAUCUGUGUGCAUGAAGAAAAACAUA